GUCUACGGCCAUACCACCCUGAAUGCGCCCGAUCUCAUCUGAUCUCGGAAGUUAAGCAGGGUAGGGCCUGGUUAGUACUUGGAUGGGAGACCGAAAUAGGAAGUGAGUUCCCUGAAAGGA
ensembl:rRNA 5S_rRNA 5S ribosomal RNA